AUUAUUAGGAACAGACAAAAAGUUCCCUGGGUUCAUAGUACAAUAUUAGGAAACAGGAAAGCAAAGAAACAACACAAAAAAUUACAAGGAUUCUAGCCAUUGGUUCUUGAGAGGGAGAUAGCCAUUGGUUCUUGAGAGGGAGAUAACUACCCUUCGUUCUAUGGACAGCCAAGGAAAAUUCUUGCUUGAAUUUAACUCUAUUUUAUGUCUUAGUCGGAUCUAUUGCAUUGAAAGUCCAGUAAUUUUGUACUCUCUACUCAAAAUUUUGAACUACGAGAUAUUAUUGUACCUUAGUAUAUUAUAUAUCACGUUCUACGUUUCCUUCAGUUGAUUGAAACAUGAUUAUUUUAGUUAAUUUUCACGUUGUCAUGAAUCUCAUUUAAAAGUUUUACAUCUUAUACCAGGUUUUUGAAACAUUUGUUGAAUCUACACUAUUGUACAACCAACAUUUGUCCUUGACUACCCAGUUGAGAUAUCACCAUUGGCAAAACCACAUCGGAGCAUCAUAGUACAGCUGUCACGUCCCUGAGGAUGUAGCUGUGGGAGCUCGCUGGCCACCGGUUUCCUGCCCGUGGUGGAUGGUGGCAAGGUAGAUAGCAGGGAGAUGAGAUAACAGAGAAAGGAGGUGAAAAUGGGAUUGGCUGUAAUUGUUGUUUAUUGCUGAACCAGACCUUCCUGAUUGAUCCCAAAUACCCCUCCUUUUGCCUAAUUAGCCCCUGUUACGAGCGCCUAUAAAUGUUUCCGACCGUAACAAUAGCUCAAGGUUACACCUGGAAACUGGGGAGAAAAGGAAGAUGUAAUUCAGUCUGAGUUUUAUAAUAUGUUAUUUAGGUGAUCAUUAAGAUAGAUGGAAA